CUCUCCUCAUUACACAAGUCAGUCGAAAAAACAGAAACGCGGAUGGGAAAAUUCUCGCUCCCUCUCUCAUCUCAAAAACUGGUUCGCUCCCUCUCUCAUCUCAAAAACUGGUAAUUGAUCUAUUGAAAGAGAAUCGGCCCCUUCUCGCUCUCUAAGCCUCAGGAAUCUCUGCCUUUUCCCUCUCUCUUCGCUAGCAAUCGACGGCUUCGCGAGAAUCAGCCAGUUCUCCCUUCCUCGUCGAUUCUAGACCAAGGUAACAAAAUCAAAACUUUGGGUGAUGAUUUUCUUGUUUUAUGAGUUGAAAUUAGGCUUAGAUUCGUUCUACGUUGUAAUUUGGUGUUCAAUAAUAGCUUUUUUAGGACUUUUACUUAAAAAGGGCCAAACCCUAUAAUCUGCACAAUUAUUGUGUUCUCAAGAUUAGGGCUUUUUAACUCUUAAUUAUAAUUUCAGUGACAAUAUUUUAUUUUAUGAACAAGGUGUUAAACAAAAAUCAGUAAGUAUAUGAAUUGAUUCACUUUCGCAGCAUUGCGAAUUUUUUCCAAAACAGGGGCACGCAUAUGAAGCAAUAGUUGUGGUAAUAGUUUUUCACUUCAAAGAUAAUAAGAUGGAACAAAAUUUCUUUAUAUCACAACUGAGAUAAAAUGUGGAGUGCUAUUAUAAUCAACUAAAUAAUGAAGUGUGUUUGUGGUAUUAGUAUCAAAAUUAUUUCCACAUGUAAUAAAAAAAUAUUUUUUAUUUUUAUCAUUUUCAAUAGAACAGGCAGUACUGCUAAUUAUUAAGCAGGCUCCAAUUUAGUGUGCAUGGGUGUUGAGGUGCAUUUAAUAAAAAAAAACAAGUGAACUCAUCCCUCAUGUCUUGUUCGUGUAGCACACAUUCCAUGUUAAUAUGUUAUAUGCAUUUAUAGUGCAUAUAAAUGAAAAUGUUUUUUAAAAUAUUAUCAAAAUAUUAUCUUUUGUGCCUUACUGUAUUAAUGCUUGUUACAUUAUUUCUAUUGAGUGUGGACCUAAUUAUUUAUUUAAAUUUAUUAUAGGCAGAAUUUUUAAAAAUGGAUGUCAUGAACCAUGAAAUAGUUAGUUUUGGGGAUAAUGCAGAAAUAGAAAUGGAAAUGGAGAGGGAUGACUUGAGUGAAGAGGGGUUGGAUGUAAACAAUGUUAAAACGAUUGUCUACUAUCCUCAAGUAGCCGAUGAGUUUAUGCCUAAGCUAGGUCAAGAAUUUCAAACAUUAGAUGACGCUCACACUUUUUACAAUACAUAUGCAAUGCAUGCUGGUUUUAGUGUGCGAAAGCAUACUGAAAAAAAGGAGGGAAGCGGUGAGAUUUGUAGGAAGUCGUAUGUGUGUUAUAAGCAAGGAAAGGAAAAACUAUUUGUCGAUGUGGAUACAAAAAGAAAACGUGGAUCUAUUAAAGAAGGUUGUAGUGCAAGAAUGAUAGUGGUUAAAAGAAAUGACUUGUACGUAGUUACCAUAACUGAUGAGGGCCAUUGUCACCCAUUGUCAACUCCACAUAAGAGGCAUUUUUUACGAUCGCAUCGUAAUGUGUCAUCUGCCCAAAAAUGUUUGAGUCAACAACUUGGCAUGGUGAAUAUACCACAAUGCCAACAAUUCAACUUUCUUGCAGUGCAGGCGGGAGGUAUUGAAAAUAUUGGUUGCACGCAACGAGAUUUGUAUAACUUUGAAAGAGACAAUCGUAAUGAACUGAAGGGACAAGAUGGCGAUAUGUUGAAUGAGUACUUGAAGUUAGAACAACAAAAGAAUCCUGCAUUCACUUUUACAAUUGACACAGACGUUGAAAAAAGGAUUACUCGUUGUUUUUGGGCCGAUGCAACUUCUAGACGGGCUUAUAGAUUUUAUGGCGAUGUUGUCAUUUUUGAUACCACGUACAACACUAAUCGUUACGGAAUGAUAUUUGCACCACUACUGGUGGUUAAUAACCACGAUCAAACUAUUGUAUUUGGUUGUGCUUUCUUAAGUGAUGAGACCAUAGAUACUUUUGUUUGGCUAUUCAAGUGCUUUUUGGGAGCAAUGUCAGGUGAUGCACCUAAGAUGAUUAUCACUGAUCAGGAUCCGGCUAUGACAAAUGCCAUUUCACAGAUCAUGCCUAAUACAUUUCAUAGGUAUUGUAAUUGGCACAUUUUUUCUAAAUUUUCAGAGAAGAUUGACUUAGUAAAAUACAAUACUUAUUAUAAAGAGUUUUUAGAUUGCAUUUGGAAUUCAGAGACAGUGGAAAAGUUUAACUCAACUUGGGUGGAGCUGGUGGAGAAAAAUGGGUUGACUACUAAUAAAUGGCUACAAUCAAUGUAUAACAUCCGUUGUAGAUGGGUACCCGCACAUGUUAAUCAUAUUUUCUCAGCCGACAUGUCAAGUAGCCAACGAGCGGAGAGUUCUCAUUCAUUUAUUAAAAGAUUUAUUUCUAAAGGAAAUUCAUUAGUGGAUUUUAUGAUUCAAUUUGGUCGGGGCCUUCAACAUCAACGACAUUUAGAGUUGGAAUCAGAUAACAAAGAUUUGAUUGAGAGACCGAAAAUGAAAAUAAAAAUUGCCAAUCAUUUCUUAAGUCAAAUGGUUGACAUUUAUACAUACUCUAUGUAUUAUAAAUUUGAAGAUGAGAUGUUUGAGACCUUGAAUUAUAAGUUUAAACUUUUGAAGGAGGAUGUCAACUACCAUGUAUAUAAAAUUUAGCGAAGGGAUGCCACAAAAUGUAAUGUAAGAGAAAUUCAUUAUGACAAAUCUUGGGAUUAUGCAACAUGUACUUGCAAAAAGUUUGAGAGUUUGAGAAUCCUAUGUCGACAUGUACUAGCUUACUUGAAUAAGUUUCAUGAUCUUGACAAGUUACCGACAAAAUACAUUUUAAAUAGGUGGACAAAGAUAGCAAAAUCAAGUGGUGUAAUUGAUGAUAAUGGUGUGGCGAUAAAAGAUGACAAGCCAUACUUACUCUUGCGGAGUCAAUUGAUUCAACGUUCUUUAGAUUUGAUUGAUAGUGCUCUCACAAGUGAAGAAGCCACAAAUGUAUUAAAAGAAUAUUUAGAUAAUGGAUAUGAAAAGAUCAAGCAAAUUAUACGUAAGAAUGAUUCCGAAAGAAACAAGGAAAUGGAGUGUGGUGGAAUUAGUGCAUCCAAGUCAGUUAACAUGACUUCUACUUAUGAACAUAGUUAUAUUGAGCCGAACCACGUGCGAGCAAAAGGGUGUGGCAAAAGGUUGAAGGGUGGCAAAGAAAAGGCUUUGGGGAAAGAAAAAAAAGUAAAGAGUAGACGUUGUCAUGCAUGUGGCCUAAUUGGUGUGACACACGAUAAAAGAAAUUGUCCGAUGCUUAAUAAUUUGUAAGCAAAUUUACUUAUUUUAACUUUGUUAUUUAUUUAAAAUUGAUUUUGGUAUUUGUUUAAUUUUAACUUUGCUAAUUGUUUAAAUGUAGAACUGGAGAAUCAAAUGAUGAUGCUACUCAGGAUCCAAGUGUAGCUAAUGAUUAUAGUGAUCCAACAGAGAUUUCUAAAUUCUGAGGUAAUGAUAAUAUUCAUCCAAGUGUAUUAAAUUUAUAUCAAUAUCAAUGGAUUAUGCGAAUUGGUUCACUUUUUCAUCACAUUUGGUAUUUACUUGGUUUUUUUUUUUUGUUGCUCAUGACAGGAUCUGGAUCUGCAGCAACUAUGGGAUAAACAUAUUGCUGGUUUUUGUACUGCUGUCAUUUUAGUUAUUAUUUAUGGACUGCUAGAUUUUGCUGCCUUCUGAAACCUGAUGUUAGUGCUAUUUGGCAUUUUCUUUGUCUCGGGAAAAACUAUGCACAUUUAGUAUUGUCGGCUGAACUGAAAAGAAGUUUGUGUUAUGUAACUUUCAGAUCUGCAAAUUAUCUAUUUAUAAUGCCAGCAACUAAUUUAGUUCUUCA
rnacentral:lncRNA from 1 species